rnacentral:rRNA from 1 species
CCAGACUCCUACGGGAGGCAGCAGUGAGGAAUAUUGGUCAAUGGCCGAGAGGCUGAACCAGCCAAGUCGCGUGAGGGAGGACGGCCCUACGGGUUGUAAACCUCUUUUGUCAGGGAGCAAGGGACAGGUCGUGACCUGUUGUGAGAGUACCUGAAGAAAAAGCAUCGGCUAACUCCGUGCCAGCAGCCGCGGUAAUACGGAGGAUGCGAGCGUUAUCCGGAUUUAUUGGGUUUAAAGGGUGCGCAGGCGGGCUGUUAAGGCGGCGGUAAAAAUUCGGGGCCCAACCCUGUCGAGCCGUCGGAACUGGCAGUCUUGAGUGGGCGAGAAGUAUGCGGAAUGCGUGGUGUAGCGGUGAAAUGCAUAGAUAUCACGCAGAACGCCGAUUGCGAAGGCAGCAUACCGGCGCCCAACUGACGCUGAGGCACGAAAGCGUGGGGAUCGAACAGGAUUAGAUACCCGGGUA